rnacentral:rRNA from 1 species
GGGGAAAUCUGAUAGCUCUACACCCUUUGUGACAUACCUAUAACUGUUGCUUCGGCGGGCAGGGUCUCCGUGACCCUCCCGGCCUCCCGCCCCCGGGCGGGUCGGCGCCCGCCGGAGGAUAACCAAACUCUGAUUUAACGACGUUUCUUCUGAGUGGUACAAGCAAAUAAUCAAAACUUUUAACAACGGAUCUCUUGGUUCUGGCAUCGAUGAAGAACGCAGCGAAAUGCGAUAAGUAAUGUGAAUUGCAGAAUUCAGUGAAUCAUCGAAUCUUUGAACGCACAUUGCGCCCGCCAGCAUUCUGGCGGGCAUGCCUGUUCGAGCGUCAUUUCAACCCUCAAGCUCUGCUUGGUGUUGGGGCCCUACAGCUGAUGUAGGCCCUCAAAGGUAGUGGCGGACCCUCCCGGAGCCUCCUUUGCGUAGUAACUUUACGUCUCGCACUGGGAUCCGGAGGGACUCUUGCCGUAAAACCCCCAAUUUUCCAAAGGUUGACCUCGGAUCAGGUAGGAAUACCCGCUGAACUUAAGCAUAUCAAUAAGCGGAAGAA